CAUAAUAGCCAUAUCACCCUGCAGCCCAAUACUGGUUACUCACUGAAGCUAAGCAGGGCUAAGCCUAGUCAGUGCCUGGAUGGGAGACCACAUGGGAAAAAAUAGGUUCCUGUUGGCA
ensembl:rRNA 5S_rRNA 5S ribosomal RNA